rnacentral:rRNA from 1 species
CAGUAGCCACGGUAAUACAGAGGGUGCGAGCGUUAAUCGGAUUUACUGGGCGUAAAGCGUGCGUAGGCGGCUUCUUAAGUCGGAUGUGAAAUCCCUGAGCUUAACUUAGGAAUUGCAUUCGAUACUGGGAAGCUAGAGUAUGGGAGAGGAUGGUAGAAUUCCAGGUGUAGCGGUGAAAUGCGUAGAGAUCUGGAGGAAUACCGAUGGCGAAGGCAGCCAUCUGGCCUAAUACUGACGCUGAGGUACGAAAGCAUGGGGAGCAAACAGGAUUAGAUACCCCCGUAGUCCCUGUCUCUUUACA